GCAUUAAUUCAAGUAGCUUAAACAAUACUCAAUGAUGUGUGAACCAUGCAUGCAUGCAAGCAGCAAGUUCAUCAACUGGAGCUGCUGUUUCAGUGUUUGUCUCCAAAGCCACCACCUUCACCUGCUCCUCCUCCGAAUCCUCCCCCAGCUCCUCCGCCUGCACCGCCACCAGCUCCCCCUCCGAAUCCUCCACCUGAACCACCUCCAGCUCCUCCUCCGAAUCCUCCUCCUGCACCACCUCCAGCUCCUCCACCUGCACCUCCACCAGCUCCCCCUCCAAAUCCACCAC
rnacentral:lncRNA from 1 species